rnacentral:rRNA from 1 species
GACGAACGCUGGCGGCGUGCUUAACACAUGCAAGUCGAACGGAAAGGCCUUUUCUGAUGUACUCUAGUGGCGAACGGGUGAGUAACACGUGGGUGAUCUGCCCUGCACUCGGGGGUAAGCCUGGGAAACUGGGUCUAAUUCCGGAUAGGACCGCGCGUGAGUGUGUGGGGGGGAAUGUUUUUUCAGUGUAGGAUGAGCCCGCGGCCUAGCAGCUUUUUGUUGUGGUAAUGGCCUACCAAGGCGGCGACGGGUAUCCGGACUGAGAGGCUGGUCGGCAACAUUGGGACUGAGGUAAGGCACAGACGCCUACGGGAGGAAGAAGGGGGGAAUAUUGCACAAUGGGCGCAAGCCUGAUGCAGAGACGCCGCGUGGGGGAUGACGGCCUUAGGGUUGAAAAAUCCUUUCGACAGGGACGAAGCGUUUUGUGACGGUACCUGGAGAAGAAGCACCGGCUAACUACGUG